UACGAAGGGUGCAAGCGUUACUCGGAAUUACUGGGCGUAAAGCGUGCGUAGGUGGUUCGUUAAGUCUGAUGUGAAAGCCCCCGGCUCAACCGGGGAGGGUCAUUGGAAACUGGGAAACUUGAGUGCAGAAGAGGAAAGUGGAAUUCCAAGUGUAGCGGUGAAAUGCGUAGAGAUUUGGAGGAACACCAGUGGCGAAGGCGGGUCUCUGGGCCGAUACUGACGCUGAGGAGCGAAAGCGUGGGGAGCGAACAGG
rnacentral:rRNA from 1 species